rnacentral:lncRNA from 1 species
AUUUUGUAUCAGGAAAAUAUAUUUGAAGAGGUAGGUCCCUGAAAUGUAUUUCAAUACAACCAAUUUUGAAGGCGCUUUUCAUCAUAAUAUAUAUAAUUUUACGACUACUACAGCUUCGUUUACAAUACUUUUAACAUGUUAGCAAAUACUGAUAGGUAAAUUGAAUAUAAUUAUUUAAUUUAUUUUGCCUUGUAAACGCUUAGAAAAGAAGGAAGGAAGAUACCAGAGGGAAAGUCAAACUCAUAGAUUGAAAGGAAACUGACAACGUCAUGGCCAAAAAUAAAA